AGACUUAGCUGGCAGGGGUGACAACGUGAUGAUGAAGGUGAUUUUUCCCAGGGUGAGGCUCAGCCAUCGUAAGGCAGCUGGGAUGGCCCUGCCCAGUUCCCCACAUGUCCGGAAACUUGCCUGCACAACUUGUGGUAAUGGUGUUUUUCUUUGCCCUCUC